CAAGCAUAUAACUGGAUAGAGGGAGGAAGAAAGAUGUUUCAGCAAGCAUGUGUGCGCCCCAGCCAUCCCAGUCACAUUUUUGACCAAGAAGCAAGGAUGUUACAGAUCUCUCCAGUAUGUGGAACAAGUGUCAAAGGCCCUUUGCUGGAUGGAAUCUUCAACAGAGUCAUUUCCAUACAACUGAUGAACAAUUUACAGGCUCACGUUCUUUUUGAUGUGUUAAUAUGUUAAUUUCCAGAGUCAACGAAUGGAAAAAGAG